CUAUUUUCACCAGUUCUCUCAUACGCCCCCAAAUAUUUCCUUCAGUAUUGCAGUAUCUCCCCCAAAAUACUACGCAUACGAGACCCAUCUCCAAAAUCACCACCACAUACACCAACCGGCACCAGACGCACCCCACCUUCAACCCUUCGUGCAUCAGACGCACCCCCACCAACCGCCAUCUUCAUCCGCGGCUCCGAAACCACCACCACUGGUCUUCAUCACUAACGACGCACCAACAUCCAAAUCGGUACUUCACUAGUACACAACUCAUUUGAUGAACAACUCUAAGUUUUUUUGGGCACCCUUUAAGAGUUUAAUGAUUUAAGCGUUCCAUGUGUUAUUGCAUUUAUUGAAGGCUGGGGUUCAUCGUUGAUAGUGGGAAUGUUGCUUAAUUAUGAAUCUCAUGCAUUGCAGGAUUGUAAGUCUUGUUCUUAUCGUUGAUGCUCCCGUAAACAUUAUAAUGCGUUUGUUUACUAACCCAUGCAAGCCUAUUAUACUUGCACUUGCUAGGUAUGAUUAUGUCAUAUAUGGUAAGUCCAUUUCCGUACCAAUUUUAUUGAGGAUGCUUACAAAGUUUCUAGACAUUUAUUUGUAAGUUUUUCGUUAAAAUUGAUUAUUGUUGAUAUAUUCUUGUUUUUUUGUUCCUUCAUGAUCAAUCAACAACAUGGCAUCGUUAACUAAGUCCGGCGGCACACAGCGCCGCAGCAGUGUUAUCGCCUGAAUAACCGGUGACGUUCUGCUCUUCACCGAAUCCUCAACAAUUAGAAACAUUUGAUUUGAUUUGCUUUGGAGGUGCCGUGGUCUUUGAUUUGAUCGCCGCGCAUUAGCCAAUGAAGAAUCUCUACUCAUUCAUCAGCAAUGAAGAUUUUGACAUCAAUUCUGAUGAGCAUGCAUCUAUGACCAUACAUUGGAUUAAUCAUCUAUGAUAAGAAGUUGUUGGGAUAUCUGGAUAUAGCAAGCAUUGGAAAUUGAGAACUACCAGAUGAUCUGUUGUUGCAAGGAUAUCCAACCUUUUAUUUUAUCUAAGGGUCUUGGAUAGACUAAGUGCUAAGGACUAUUGAUGGAACCUUUUCUGCACGGGAAUGACAAUGACGAUGAUGAAAACAUUAAUUUACAUCCAAUACCCAAUUACCAUCAAGCUUCAAAAGGUUCAAGAGGAAUUAGAAAAAGAACGGGAGGCCCGACAAAACAUAGAAUCCCGGUUCGAAAAAUUUCAACAAGAGCGCGAGAAAGAGCGGGCCGACCAAGCGGCAUGGCAAAAACUUAUAGAAGAAAAGCUGAAAAGCAUCGGAAAUGAGUAAAAACUCUCGUCUAGUUAAGUAUUGUAAUGUUAAACAACGGAUUAGUUUUGAUUGCUUUUAGUUAGGAUUUUUUGUGCG